GAUCCUGGCUCAGGAUGAACGCUAGCGACAGGCUUAACACAUGCAAGUCGAGGGGCAUCAUGAGGUAGCAAUACCUUGAUGGCGACCGGCGCACGGGUGAGUAACACGUAUGCAAUCCACCUGUAACAGGGGGAUAACCCGGAGAAAUCCGGACUAAUACCCCAUAAUAUGGGCGCUCCGCAUGGAGAGCCCAUUAAAGAGAGCAAUUUUGGUUACAGACGAGCAUGCG
rnacentral:rRNA from 1 species